AUUGAACGCUGGCGGCAUGCCUUACACAUGCAAGUCGAACGGCAGCACGGGUGCUUGCACCUGGUGGCGAGUGGCGAACGGGUGAGUAAUACAUCGGAACAUGUCCUGUAGUGGGGGAUAGCCCGUCGAAAGCCGGAUUAAUACCGCAUACGAUCCACGGAUGAAAGCGGGGGACCUUCGGGCCUCGCGCUAUAGGGUUGGCCGAUGGCUGAUUAGCUAGUUGGUGGGGUAAAGGCCUACCAAGGCGACGAUCAGUAGCUGGUCUGAGAGGACGACCAGCCACACUGGGACUGAGACACGGCCCAGACUCCUACGGGAGGCAGCAGUGGGGAAUUUUGGACAAUGGGCGAAAGCCUGAUCCAGCAAUGCCGCGUGUGUGAAGAAGGCCUUCGGGUUGUAAAGCACUUUUGUCCGGAAAGAAAACCUUGGCUCUAAUACAGUCGGGGGAUGACGGUACCGGAAGAAUAAGCACCGGCUAACUACGUG
rnacentral:rRNA from 1 species